rnacentral:rRNA from 1 species
AGAACGAACGCUGGCGGCAUGCCUAACACAUGCAAGUCGAACGCUUGCCGAGGCUUCGGUUUCGGCAGGAGUGGCGCACGGGUGAGUAGCGCGUGGGAACCUGCCUUGGAGUGGGGGACAACCGAGGGAAACUUCGGCUGAUACCGCAUACGCCGGUUGUCUUGCAAGAGACGGCCGGGAAAGAUUUAUCGCUCCGAGAGGGGCCCGCGUCGGAUUAGGUAGUUGGCGGGGUAACGGCCCACCAAGCCUGUGAUCCGUAGCUGGUCUGAGAGGAUGAUCAGCCACACUGGGACUGAGACACGGCCCAGACUCCUACGGGAGGCAGCAGUGGGGAAUAUUGGACAAUGGGCGCAAGCCUGAUCCAGCAAUGCCGCGUGAGUGAUGAAGGCCUUCGGUUGUAAAGCUCUUUCGCCCGCGACGAUGAUGACGGUAGCGGGAGAAGAGCCCGGCUAACUUCGCGCCAGCAGCCGCGGU